rnacentral:rRNA from 1 species
UAGGGAAUCUUCCACAAUGGACGCAAGUCUGAUGGAGCAACGCCGCGUGAGUGAAGAAGGUUUUCGGAUCGUAAAGCUCUGUUGUUGGUGAAGAAAGAUAGUGAGAGUAACUGCUCAUUAUUUGCCGGUAAUCAACCAGAAAGUCACGGCUAACUACGUGCCAGCAGCCGCGGUAAUACGUAGGUG